GACGAACGCUGGCGGCGUGCCUAAUACAUGCAAGUCGAGCGGGGAUUAUGCUUGAUCGCUUCGGUGAGACGGCAUAUAUCCUAGCGGCGGACGGGUGAGUAACGCGUGGGUAAUCUACCUCGUAGUUCGGGAUAACAGGCCGAAAGGCUUGCUAAUACCGGAUGAGUUCAUGCUUAUGCAUAUAGGCAUGAAGAAAGGGCUAGCCCGCUAUGAGAUGAGCCCGCGUCCCAUUAGCUUGUUGGUGGGGUAACGGCCUACCAAGGCAACGAUGGGUAGCCGGCCUGAGAGGGUGUACGGCCACACUGGGACUGAGACACGGCCCAGACUCCUACGGGGGCGAGCAGUAGGGAAUUUUCGGGCAAUGGGCGAAAGCCUGACCGAGCGACGCCGCGUGAGGGCGAAGGCCUUCGGGUUGGUAAACCUACUGUCUGGGGGAGUGAGAACGGACGGUACCCCGGGAGGAACGCCCGGCUAACGUACGUGCCAGCAGCCGCGGUAAUCGACUACCGUAGA
rnacentral:rRNA from 1 species